UUUGUUAUCUUUAGGCCAAUUUGCACAGACUACAGCUGUAUCUACCUCUUGUACUACACCUGUAUCUACCUCUUGUGCUACACCUGGUAAGUUAAACAACUAUUAGUUUUUAAUGUGCAAACUUUAUAAUAUGUUUAACUUUAGUUCCUUAGUCAUC
rnacentral:lncRNA from 1 species